AGUGAACGCUGGCGGUAGGCCUAACACAUGCAAGUCGAACGGCAGCACAGUAAGAGCUUGCUCUUACGGGUGGCGAGUGGCGGACGGGUGAGGAAUACAUCGGAAUCUACUUUUUCGUGGGGGAUAACGUAGGGAAACUUACGCUAAUACCGCAUACGACCUACGGGUGAAAGCAGGGGAUCUUCGGACCUUGCGCGAUUGAAUGAGCCGAUGUCGGAUUAGCUAGUUGGCGGGGUAAAGGCCCACCAAGGCGACGAUCCGUAGCUGGUCUGAGAGGAUGAGCACCCACUCUGGAACUGAGACACGGUCCAGUCUCCUGCGGGAGGCAGGAGGGGGAAAUAUGGACAAGGGGCGAAAGCCUGAGCCAGCCAUACCGCGUGGGUGAAGAAGGCCUUCGGGUUGUAAAGCCCUUUUGUUGGGAAAGAAAAGCAGCAGGUUAAUACCCCGCUGUUCUGACGGUACCAAAAGAAUAAGCACCGGCUAACUUCGU
rnacentral:rRNA from 1 species